AUACGUAGGGGGCGAGCGUUGUCCGGAAUGAUUGGGCGUAAAGGGCGCGUAGGCGGCCCGGUAAGUCUGGAGUGAAAGUCCUGUUUUUAAGAUGGGAAUUGCUUUGGAUACUGUCGGGCUUGAGUGCAGGAGAGGUAAGUGGAAUUCCCAGUGUAGCGGUGAAAUGCGUAGAGAUUGGGAGGAACACCAGUGGCGAAGGCGACUUACUGGACUGUAACUGACGCUGAGGCGCGAAAGUGUGGGGAGCAAACAGGAUUAGAUACCCUGGUAGUCCACACUGUAAACGAUGAAUGCUAGGUGUAGGGGGUAUCGACCCCUUCUGUGCCGCAGUCAACACAAUAAGCAUUCCGCCUGGGGAGUACGGCCGCAAGGUUGUAACUCAAAGGAAUUGACGGG
rnacentral:rRNA from 1 species